UUGACUAUCAUUCUUCUUGGAGCAUUUAAACAUCGUAACGAACGAAAAAUUUGUGUGGGAAAGUUUCUCUCGAAAUUAUGUAAAAUCAGCUUAAAAUGCGGCUUAUCAAAUCCCCUUACGUCUUACUCACAACGAGUUCGUUUAACCGGGCCAUGGGAUACAUUAACUAAAUAUGGCUUUCUCACAACUUUAACAAUUAUUACGCAUAAAAAAACACCACCAUGGUCAAAGGCCUAGUCCUGUCAGAGCAAGCCAAAAACGCAGCAAAUAUUGGAAACGUACGUGGUGUUUACGAAAUAAUUAAACAAAGGAGUGGCAACAAUAUAAGACCAACGGCAAUAAGCAAAGAUGAUGACGGAUCAGAAUUAACAACACCCGAACAGCAAUCAGAGCGUUGGAUCGGAUUUUUCAGCUCCGAAGGACUACAAACCGAGGACGUAAGCUCCGACCCUCGUAAUCCCCCUGUGCGCCGAAACCAACGCAGAUAUAUGUAUAUAUGCAGCCCCACCCACCUGCGAAGAAAUUGAGGCCGUUCUGAUCUCACUCAAAAACGGCAAAUCGGCCGGACCUGACAACGUACCAGCCGCAUGGCACACACUACAUAGCUCAAAUCUGAGAUACAAACGUUGUCCCCUCGGAAAAGAACAAUAGAAUAAUGGUCAAAAUCCCAAAGAUAAAAGUGUAAAACUUGAGGGGGAUUACAUUGCUAAACGGAAUAAAUAAAGUGAUUACAAUUUUUCUUCUGCAGCGUAUUUCGCCUGCGUUUGAUGGCUUAUUGAGGAAGGAACAGGCAGGCUUUCGGCCAGAAAGUUUUUGUGCCGACCAUUAAUGCAUAACGUAUAAUCAUUAAACAGUCUUCAGAAUUUUAUAUACACCUGUACCUCCUAUUCGCCGACUUCGAUUUCGUCACUUUUGUCACAGUUUCGCGAGAUCAAUGUGAAGCAUGCUGUCGAAUAAGGACGUCUUUGAAAAGAGAGUGACUAUGAUUUUGAAGCUGUAUAGGAAUGCAGAAGUUUCAGUUCGUUUCAAUGGGAAAGAGAGCCGUUCUUUCGCUAUCAAUAAAGUAGUGAAAGGCAACAAAUGUUAAGGCACCAUAUGGCAUUCGCUGGGGCCAAAACGACUUCCUUGGAGACAUCGACUAAGCUAACAAAAUUGAAAUUGGAACGCUUGAAUGAGAACGCGGCCAAAGUAGUCCUGAAAUAUACAUACCUAAGACCAAAUUGACGUGGAUAGGAACAAAAAAUCUGACACCGCUCACUAUAAACGGCCAUGUCAUUGAAGAUGUUGAUAAAUUUUUCUAUCUUAGCAGCUAAAUUACAAAGGACGGAGGAUCAGAAGCAGACGUGCGCGAAUGUAUCAACAAGACUCGAAGCUCCUUUUUUAAUCUCAACAAACUUUGGAGAUGCAGUGACAUCUCACAUAAUAUAAAAUUAGGAAUCUUCAACAGUAGUGCAAAAUUUAUUUUAUUACUAGCUGGACCGGGCCGGCACCGCUGCGCCUUCUUUUACUUUAUAUGGAACACAAGUUUCCUUGGAAUAUUUAUUUUCGAAGAUCUUUUAGUGAAAUACCAUGCUUACUUGACAAGAGUUUAACAAUAUAAGUGCCUCUAUCUGAA